rnacentral:rRNA from 1 species
UUGUCAUUAGUUGCUACGAAAAGGGCAACUCUAAUGAGACUGCCGGUGACAAACCGGAGGAAGGUGGGGAUGACGUCAAGUCCUCAUGGCCCUUAUGGGUAGGGCUUCACACGUCAUACAAUGGUCGGGACAGAGGGUCGCCAACCGCAGGGGGAGCCAAUCCCAGAAACCCGAUCGUAGUCCGGAUUGCAGGCUGCAACUCGCCUGCAUGAAGUCGGAAUCGCUAGUAAUCGCGGAUCAGCAUGUCGCGGUGAAUACGUUCCCGGGUCUU